ACAGGUCACAUGACUGCUUCCAUCUCCAAGUCAGCUCUGCCAUGGAUCAGCCAGAUGGCAAACCGCGUUUUUCUUUUUUUAUGAGCAAUGACCU